UCUCUCAUUCUUGAAAUUCCAAGUUUCUCUUUAGUUCCAUCUUCCUUUCCUCUAAAGAACUUUCUGUAGCAUUUUCUUUUCAUAUCGGAAGAGACACGU